UACGUAGGUGGCAAGCGUUGUCCGGAUUUACUGGGCGUAAAGAGCGCGCAGGCGGCCAAGUCAGUCGAAUGUGAAAGCCCCCGGCUCAACUGGGGAGGGUCAUUCGAUACUGCUCGGCUCGAAGACAGGAGAGGGAAGUGGAAUUCCCGGUGUAGUGGUGAAAUGCGUAGAUAUUCGCAAGAACACCAGUGGCGAAGGCGGCUCACUGGCCCGGUACUGACGCUGAGGUGCGAAAGCGUGGGGAGCAAACAGG
rnacentral:rRNA from 1 species